rnacentral:rRNA from 1 species
AUACGUAGGGAGCGAGCGUUGUCCGGAUUUACUGGGCGUAAAGGGCGUGUAGGCGGUCUUGCAAGUCAGAAGUGAAAUUCCUGAGCUCAACUCGGGCGCUGCUUCUGAAACUGCAGGACUUGAGUGCUGGAGGGGAUAGCGGAAUUCCUAGUGGAGCGGUAAAAUGCGCAGAUAUUAGGAAGAACACCGGUGGCGAAGGCGGCUAUCUGGACAGUAACUGACGCUGAGGCGCGAAAGCGUGGGGAGCAAACAGGAUUAGAUCCCCUGGUAGUCCACGCCGUAAACGAUGAAUACUAGGUGUAGGGGGUAUCGACUCCCUCUGUGCCGCAGUUAACACAAUAAGUAUUCCGCCUGGGGAGUACGGCCGCAAGGUUGAAACUCAAAUGAAUUGACGGGG